UGACUACAGUUUCUGCUCAUUGCCCUGACUCGUUUUGUAUACCACUUAGACCAUUUUUUUUAUUGUUUGAAUCUUGGAUAUGAAUGAACAAUUUCUUCUUGCUAAACUGUGCCCAGAAGUUCUUCAUAUUUAGAGCCCACAAUGCCUGUCUGUGUUCUAUGCGCUACCAUACAGUUCACGAGCUUCGGGCAAGGGGCUGGAGAUUGAAAUACACAAAGACACACGGACCUCUAGUCACUGAGCAAUCAAAUGAAAUAUCCCCUAGCUUUCUUAAUCGAAGCUGUCUGCUCGGCCCCGGCACUAAAAAUGCAUGUUUCAGUAAGUGUUCUGUGUGAAGGAUUUUUUUUUAUCUUUUAAAAAAUCCAGAAUGGAUGAAAAGAACAAUCAUCAAAAAUACAGGUCAACCAAGAGGUUGCUUGGAAAGCAAGCCUUCAAACUGAGCUUGGGUUAGCUUCAUAUUUAAAUGUUUGGGUCCAAAAGCAUCCACUGUAAGAAAUGGUGAGUUAUCAGUCUGCACAGAUGAGUUUACGCUUAGCCUUCUUAGCAGCUUCCUGAACCCCUUUGAAGUGCUGCGUUGUCUGUGGUAAAUCAACCCAUCUUCCUCUUGAUCUCCUCGAUAAUGUGGCAUCACAAUGCCUGGUCAAAGUCUUCACCGCCUAAGAAAGCAUCCCCAUUGGAUUUCACAUCAAGCCCUCCUUCCUGAAUUUUCAGGAUAGAAAUAGCAAAGGUUCAACCACCUAACUCAUACACUUUUUUCUUCAGAUUUGUUCAGACUAUAGGCCAGGGCUGAGGUUCACCGAUUACUCGAAGUACAUUUAGCCCAGCUAGCCAGCAUUCUUAGUGGCCGUUGCUCUGACUCAUUGAAUUAAGCAGGAUCACAGCAUUUUUUUUUUCUGUGUGACCCAAGUACUUUUCCACAGCCUGCUUCAUCUUCAUCAAUACCAAGGCUUCAAUCUGACUAGGACAAGAGUUUCCCAUGAGCCCCAGCCCAGGCAUCACCAUUAAGAAGCACGGACCGUUUUAAAGGGAAGAGUCUUAGCAUCUUUCUGUAUACUUGGGGGUAGUCAUAACAACAUUCAGUCUGACGCUUAGUAGCACAGAAGGUGGUGCUUGGGUUGACAGCCUGUUGCUUUGCUGGUGCACCAAAAAGUUUUUCUCCAUUUGUAAAGGUCACAACAGAAGGCAUAGUUCUAGCACCUUGAUUGUUCUUGAGGAACUUUGCUUGUUUGCCUUCCGUAGCUGCUACACAGGAGUUACCCACAACUGCACCCUUAAUUGCCUUCCUGAAACAACUCGAGACUAAGGCCACUCCAGCUGUCCUGGUGACGGGAGGCCGCUGGACUCCAAGAGGCUGCGGCGCCCACGAGACGCGCAGCCAAGGCUCCGCUGGCGUUUAUCAUGGCAAUGGGACCAGUGGGACCUUUGGGACACCAGAGCAGGGAACAAACACCCCACAGGUCCGGAGCUGCAAUAAUUGUACUUUUGAAGUGAUGACUAUAAAUGAUAAUGCAAGGCUGUAGUUUAGUGUAGAAAGGUUGUGUCUGUGGUUCCAGAUGUUACAAAGUCAUACACAUGUUUAAUAUCUUUGUAGUUUGUUACCGACGCUCAUAAUAAA